rnacentral:lncRNA from 1 species
CAGCUGAAAAGGUGGACAUCUCAAGACAGGCACUGGACAAUGGCUGACAGACUUGACUGAAGAGUGGUAAUGUUUUGCUAUCUCAUAGGAAAAGAAGGCCCCUCCCACUACACUGUACUCUAAGGACAGUUUAUUCAGGUGCUUCCUACACAAGAAGUCACAUGACCACAGAGUGUCAUUUGUCAAAGAACCAAGAACUUGUUCAAAACUCUACAUAGGAUCCAAUCUAUCACAUGGAUAUGCAAUAAUGAGUGCACACUCAAGAUGUCCCUCCUUGCUCUCCUGCUUCAGUGGGACCAACUUCUUCCUGCAUGUGUUCUCCAUCAGGAGCUGGCUGAGCAGGUUUCUGGAAAUACAGUCUGCAUAAGCCUUCUGAAGAUGCCUAGACAAUCCUGGGAUGAGUAACAGUCUUUUGUGGAACUGAAAACUGAGUCCUAAUGACCCUGGCACACUGAUGUGUAAACAGCACAAGAGAUAGAAUCAUAGCUGAAGACUGUCCAAUCCAGAACAAAGAAAUCAGAAAUGGCCAUUCCACAGGUGAUAGCCUUUCUGACCAGGACUUACCUAGAGAAGGUCUUCAUAAUAUGGAUUUGGCCUGAAGUGUGGCCUGGCCCCAAAUGAUAGAUUCCAAUGAACAUCAGCAUUUAGGAAUAUAUGAACUCAGGGUGGGUCCUGUACUACCCCAGUCCUGGAAGGACACCUUCUGAAUUCUACAUAUUAGAUCUUCUUCAGCUUCAGAAACGUGUUUUUCUGCGUCCAGGACACCAGAAUCUCAGCAUCCAGAUGGAGGCUUCCCUGGCUCCCUUUGUUCAAUCAAGAGGAAAUCUGCAGUCAAGCCAGUUGAGCUAUCAAGAGCCUAGGCCACACCUCUCCAUGCUCCCCACCCCAACACAGCCAGAAACCUGUGAUUUCUUUUCUCCUGUUUUGAUAAAAGACCUUAUAUCAACA